rnacentral:rRNA from 1 species
UACGAAGGGGGCUAGCGUUGCUCGGAAUUACUGGGCGUAAAGCGCACGUAGGCGGCUCUUUAAGUCGGGGUGAAAUCCUGGAGCUCAACUCCAGAACUGCCUUCGAUACUGAAGAGCUCGAGUCCGGGAGAGGUGAGUGGAACUGCGAGUGUAGAGGUGAAUUCGUAGAUAUUCGCAAGAACACCAGUGGCGAAGGCGGCU